AUUGAACGCUGGCGGCAGGCCUAACACAUGCAAGUCGAGCGAGCGGCGGACGGGUGAGUAAUGUAUGGGAAACUGCCCGAUAGAGGGGGAUAACUACUGGAAACGGUGGCUAAUACCGCAUACUAUCGGAUGUGCCCAUAUGGGAUUAGCUAGUAGGUGGGGUAAAGGCUCACCUAGGCGACGAUCACUAGCUGGUCUGAGAGGAUGACCAGCAACACUGGAAAUGAGACACGGUCUAGACUCAUACGGGAGGCAGCAUUGGGGAAUAUUGCACAAGGGUCGAAAGCCUGAUGCAGCCAUGCCGCGUGUAUGAAGAAGGCCUUCGGGUUGUAAAGUACUUUCAGCGGGGAGGCGUUACCCGCAGAAGAAGCACUGGCUAACUCCGUGCCAGCAGCCGCGGUAAUUC
rnacentral:rRNA from 1 species